rnacentral:rRNA from 1 species
UACGUAGGUGGCAAGCGUUGUCCGGAAUUAUUGGGCGUAAGGCGCGCGCAGGCGGUCCUUUAAGUCUGAUGUGAAAGCCCACGGCUCAACCGUGGAGGGUCAUUGGAAACUGGGGGACUUGAGUGCAGGAGAGAAGAGUGGAAUUCCACGUGUAGCGGUGAAAUGCGUAGAGAUGUGGAGGAACACCAGUGGCGAAGGCGACUCUUUGGCCUGUAACUGACGCUGAGGAGCGAAAGCGUGGGGAGCGAACAGG